GUGUCAGCCGCCGCGGUAAUACGGAGGGGGCAAGCGUUGUUCGGAAUUACUGGGCGUAAAGGGCGCGUAGGCGGACCAUCAAGUUAGGGGUGAAAGGCCUGGGCUCAACCUGGGAACGGCCUCUAAAACUGGUGGUCUUGAGACCGGAAGAGGAUGGCGGAAUUCCUAGUGUAGAGGUGAAAUUCGUAGAUAUUAGGAAGAACACCGGUGGCGAAGGCGGCCAUCUGGUCCGGAUCUGACGCUGAGGCGCGAAAGCGUGGGGAGCAAACAGGAUUAGAUACCCUGGUAGUCCACGCCGUAAACGAUGUGUGCUAGCCGUUGGGGCACUUAGUGCUUCGGUGGCGCAGCUAACGCGUUAAGCACACCGCCUGGGGAGUACGGCCGCAAGGUUAAAACUUAAAUGAAUUGACGGGG
rnacentral:rRNA from 1 species